rnacentral:rRNA from 1 species
AGAGUUUGAUCCUGGCUCAGGACGAACGCUGGCGGCGUGCUUAAUACAUGCAAGUCGAGCGAGGUUACUGUUUUGGAUCCCUUCGGGGUGAAGAAGCUUUAACCUAGCGGCGGACGGGUGAGUAACGCGUGGGUAACCUACCCCAAAGUCCGGGAUAACAGCGGGAAACCGCUGCUAAUACCGGAUGCCUUUACCUUGGGGCAUCUUGAGGUAAAGAAAGGCAACGCUUUGGGAUGGGCCCGCGUCCCAUUAGCUAGUUGGUGAGGUAACGGCUCACCAAGGCGACGAUGGGUAGCCGGCCUGAGAGGGUGGACGGCCACACUGGGACUGAGACACGGCCCAGACUCCUACGGGAGGCAGCAGUAGGGAAUAUUGCGCAAUGGACGGAAGUCUGACGCAGCGACGCCGCGUGAGCGAUGAAGGUCUUCGGAUCGUAAAGCUCUGUCCUUGGGGAAGAAGGCGAAAGCUUGACGGUACCCAAGAAGAAAGCCCCGGCUAACUACGUGCCAGCAGCCGCGGUAAU